rnacentral:misc_RNA from 1 species
AACGCACCUUGCGCUCCUUGGUAUUCCGAGGAGCAUGCCUGUUUGAGUGUCAUUAAAUUUCUCAACUGCUCUUCAUUUUUUGUGAAGUGCAGCUUGGAUGUGGAGGUUUUUGUAGGCUUCAUGUUUUUGAAGCCCACUCCUCUUAAAUAGAUCAGUGGGACCUUUAAUGGGAGACACUGCUUUGGUGUGAUAACUAUCGACGCCAUGGCUGUGACCAUAAAAAUUGGGUCUUGCUUUCAAACAGUCCCCAUGAUGGACAACUUAUGAUCCAUUUGACCUCAAAUCAGGUAGGACUACCCGCUGAACUUAA